rnacentral:rRNA from 1 species
GAUGAACGCUAGCGGCAGGCCUAAUACAUGCAAGUCGAACGGAGCAGCAAUGCUUAGUGGCGCACGGGUGCGUAACGCGUGGGAAUCUACCCUUGGGUUCGGAAUAACUCAGAGAAAUUUGAGCUAAUACCGGAUGAUGUCGCAAGACCAAAGAUUUAUCGCCCAAGGAUGAGCCCGCGUAGGAUUAGCUUGUUGGUGAGGUAAAAGCUCACCAAGGCGACGAUCCUUAGCUGGUCUGAGAGGAUGAUCAGCCACACUGGGACUGAGACACGGCCCAGACUCCUACGGGAGGCAGCAGUGGGGAAUAUUGGACAAUGGGCGAAAGCCUGAUCCAGCAAUGCCGCGUGAGUGAUGAAGGCCCUAGGGUUGUAAAGCUCUUUUACCAGGGAUGAUAAUGACAGUACCUGGAGAAUAAGCUCCGGCUAACUCCGUAGCCAGCAGCCGCGGUAAU